ACACUGCAUCACCCUAUUGUACAAAAUGCAAGGUCAAUUGUACUAAAAAGAGGGGUAUUUAGGUACUUUAAAUGCAAUUGGAGAGGUUUCAAAUUAGUCAAGUAAAUGGCAAACACGUGUUAUAUUUGUGUCCACAUUUUUCUUUCUUUACCUUCUGCUUCAUCUUUCUCAUUCUUCCUCUCUGCCUUUCCCAAUCCUCACAUCUCUCUAAAACAAAAUUUAUGCAGAAAAUUUCAAAUCAAUAAACCCAACAACUAUUAGAUGCUUCAAAGGUUUAAGGUGAUCUAAAGUUCUCAAUUUAGAGUUAUAGCUCUCAAUCUCUCCCAACUCACUCUCUUUCAAGAUCUAAACGGGCCAAAUUCGCCCAUGAAUUCUGGCAGAGGAAACUGGAAGAGAACAUGUUUGCAAGUUCUUAAAUUAGUUGUUGAAUUGGACGCUUAGUUAGUCAAAGUCGACAGUUGAAAGAGGUCAGUCCACCUGGUUUUUCUCAAAAUAAUUUGUCAUUAAUACAGUUUCAUUGAAGCUAAAUUUAUCAAAAUACAUGUUCCCUCUAUUAAAUUUUUGCAAAAUCUUUUGUUGCUUGCAAUGAAAAAUGUUGAAUUGAUGACCAAACGAUCAAAUCCUAUUAAAGAGAGAGGCUUUAAUUUGUAAUUUUCUGAUAAACCUGAUUAGUUUACAUUACAGAUGUUGCACCAGUUCCCCAUAUGUUUACACAUUCAGGUAUUUCUUAUCUGGCUUAAAAUAUCACAUUAGUUGUAUUUUCUGUUUUGAGAGAUUCAAUACUUAUCUUUUGUGUGAACUUUGUGGGUUAUUCUCAAAUGAGUUUCAUUUGACUUGUAUUGCGCUCGAAGUCUAUUUGAACGCUAUUUGACUGUCAAGAGAAGUGGGUAAAUUGAUUCAACUGAUGCUGACAUUUGGUAUUAAAUAUAUAUUUGUAAUUUCUAGGCAUUUUGUAUUACAAUUUCGAUUAGCAGUAUGAUAUUGAAGAGGAAAUGAACGAUGUGAAGAGGUGUGUUGGAUUGAUGUAUGGUGAAAAAUGGUAAGCUACUGACCAGGAUGAUUUUACAGGCAUAAUAUAAAAAAUGGAAGAAGUCAAAGUUGAUGGUGUGUGAAAUGUGAAGGACCAGUUUCUAAACAUCAUGCAACAAAACUAGCAUAAGAUAAGUUGUUUGGAUAAGAAUUGUAUAUUCUAGGAUGCUCGCCUAAUGUGUCAAAUAAAUGGUACAGAAGAAACUUUAAACUUGAGGAUAAUGAUAACCCUUCGUUGUCAAAUGCUUUUAUGAUGUCCUUAGAACUUUUCAAAUUCUGAUUUGUAUAGUUAUUCUACCAUCUAUUGUUGUGAGAAAUGGGACUUGAGGCUCACUGCAUUAAACAUGGCAAGUGGCCAACAUGUUUUAACAAGGUGUUGGCAACAUAUCGGGGAUGUCACUAACAUUGAAGAGUUCUCUUACUACUUUGGAGCUAUUAAUGCAAGGUAAACAAAUGGAUAGGAAAAGUGCCUGAAGGCUGAAAUGAGACAUGUUACAUGUAAUUUAUUUUUUCCGACCAGUCUCAUUUCAUCCCAAUUUCAGAGAGGUUUGCUCCUUCCAACAACAAGAAGGAAAAGUUUGUUGGAUCUGGAUCAAUUUGUUGUCAUUUAAGUGCAAUGACUGAAGCUGGAUCAAUUGGCCCAAAGAACUUCGAACUCAGCCAGACAGAUCAUUGUUCCCAAACUCUAAAGCUUUCAAAGACUGAGCACUUAGCAUCUCAUCGUACAAAGUAAAAUUAAUUGCAUGCAGGGAGUCUACUUGGAAUAUUUUUUAACUGGUAUAAGAAUGACCAAGAUGCCCUAGAAAAAUAUUGGUGAAGCAAUAUGUUCUGUUAUUAGUGGACUGAAGUCUUUGGCCUUAAUGAAAUGGUGAAGCAUUGUUCACCAGUGUAGUAUGCACUGCAGACAAUGUGGAGUUGACUUUUUGACAAGUACAUGUAUUAGGUCUUAACCAUAAAACAGCCUCUCCUUUUAGUUUAUGCCCAUAUGUGUAUUUCUAUUCACUUCA